CUUGAGCGAGCCCAGCCACAGCGGCGCGUCGUCGGGUCGGCCCUGGCCGUAGGUGUCGAGGAUCGCCUGCGCCUC
rnacentral:antisense_RNA from 1 species